rnacentral:rRNA from 1 species
AUUGAACGCUGGCGGCAGGCCUAACACAUGCAAGUCGAACGGUAACAGGAAGAAGCUUGCUUCUUUGCUGACGAGUGGCGGACGGGUGAGUAAUGUCUGGGAAACUGCCUGAUGGAGGGGGAUAACUACUGGAAACGGUAGCUAAUACCGCAUAACGUCGCAAGACCAAAGAGGGGGACCUUCGGGCCUCUUGCCAUCGGAUGUGCCCAGAUGGGAUUAGCUAGUAGGUGGGGUAACGGCUCACCUAGGCGACGAUCCCUAGCUGGUCUGAGAGGAUGACCAGCCACACUGGAACUGAGACACGGUCCAGACUCCUACGGGCGGCAGCAGUGGGGAAUAUUGCACAAUGGGCGCAAGCCUGAUGCAGCCAUGCCGCGUGUAUGAAGAAGGCAUUCGGGUUGUAAAGUACUUUCAGCGGGGAGGAAGGGAGUAAAGUUAAUACCUUUGCUCAUUGACGUUACCCGCAGAAGAAGCACCGGCUAACUCCGUG